GCCCCGGUAGCUCAGUUGGAUAGAGCGGAAGCCUUCUAAGCUUCAGGCCAGAGGUUCGAAUCCUCUCCGGGGUACCA
rnacentral:tRNA from 1 species